CCCAGCACUUUGGGAGGCUGAGGCGGGUGGAUCACGAGGUCAAGAGAUCGAGAUCAUCCUGGUCAACAUGGUGAAACCCCGUCUCUACUAAAAAUACAAAAAAUUAGCUGGGCAUGGUGGGGCGUGCCUGUAAUCCCAGCUACUCAGGAGGCUGAGGCAGGAGAAUUGCCUGAACCCAGGAGGCGGAGGUUGCAUUGAGCCGAGAUCACGCCAUUGCACCCCAGCCUGGGUAACAAGAGCAAAACUCCGUCUCAAAAAAAUAAAUAAAUAAAUAAAGGUGUAAAUAUUAAAAGGGUAUUUUUCUCUCAUUAUUAGAAGGGGAAAUGCUGUCUGUCUUGCAGAUUCUGGCCAGCUACAAAUCAAAGGAGUACUCAGAUACAGGUAUGCAGUGACAGAGCGCUACGGGACUGCCCACAGAGUGAACAGUCUCAAUCAGCUGGCACUGCUCGUUUUUAUUCAGUAUAGACAUAAUGCUGAAAGCCUGGCGCCAACACAAUCUGUGGGUAAUUAACACUGUCAUCCCCCUUUGCAGGGAGCAGUCUUUCAGGCAGAUAAUCAAAGAAAAAGUCUAUGUUAUAAUAUUUUAACCAGUCAUCCAGGCCUACAGCUCCUAGAUUCUGACGCUCUAUCCAAUACCAUUGAGAGAAAUGGAGAGGAGUGUUGACACGGAUAUUUGAGAACAAGAUAGAAGGAAAAAUUGGAAAAAGCAGAGUCUAUGAAACUACAUGAGUUCAAAAAAAGCUUCAACGACCACUUACAAGGGCUUUAUUCAUUUGAACAUGCAACAAGACUCUAUUGCUACUGCUUGCAGUUGAAGGAUAGACUUCUGAAGUAA
rnacentral:lncRNA from 13 species